AUUGAACGCUGGCUGCAGGCCUAAAACAUUAAAAUAGAGCGAGCGGGGGCCGGUUCAGGCAUGUAUGGGGAUGUGCCUGGUGGAGGGGGAUACCUACUGGAAACGGUUGCUAAUACCACAUGCCAUCAGAUGAAACUAUAUGGGAUUAGCUGGUAGGUAAGGUAAGGGCGUACCUAGGCGACGAUCCCUAGCUGGUCUGAGAGGAUGAUCAGCCACACUGGGACUGAGACACGGCCCAGACUCCUACGGGAGGCAGCAGUGGGGAAUAUUGCACAAUGGGCGCAAGCCUGAUGCAGUCAUGCCGCGUGUAUGAAGAAGGCCUUCGGGUUGUAAAGUACUUUCAGUCGGGAGGCGUUACCGACAGAAGAAGCACCGGCUAACUCCGUGCCAGCAGCCGCGGUAAUUC
rnacentral:rRNA from 1 species